AGAGUUUAGUCCUGGCUCAGAACGAACGCUGGCGGCAGGCCUAACACAUGCAAGUCGAGCGAGAAGCCACCUUCGGGUGGGGGACAGCGGCGGACGGGUGAGUAAUGCGUGGGAAUAUGCCCUUUGGUACGGAAUAGCCCCUGGAAACGGGGAGUAAUACCGUAUGUGCCCUACGGGGGAAAGAUUUAUCGCCAAAGGAUUAGCCCACGUUGGAUUAGCUAGUUGGUAAGGUAAUGGCUUACCAAGGCGACGAUCUAUAGCUGGUUUGAGAGGAUGAUCAGCCACACUGGGACUGAGACACGGCCCAGACUCCUACGGGAGGCAGCAGUGGGGAAUAUUAGACAAUGGGCGCAAGCCUGAUCUAGCCAUGCCGCGUGAGUGAAGAAGGCCCUAGGGUUGUAAAGCUCUUUCAGAUGUGAGGAUGAUGACAGUAACAUCAGAAGAAGCCCCGGCUAACUUCGUGCCAGCAGCCGCGGUAAUACGAAGGGGGCUAGCGUUGUUCGGAAUUACUGGGCGUAAAGGGCGCGUAGGCGGACUGAUCAGUCUGGUGUGAAAUCCCGGGGCUCAACCUCGGAACUGCACCAGAUACUGUCAGUCUAGAAUCCCGGA
rnacentral:rRNA from 1 species